CACCGGUCACCAUCUCAUCUCUCAUUUUUCCCUUUCUCUCCUCCCAAUUUUUUCCCCUCCCAUUCUCUCCAUUGUCAAGAACAACCGACCCCCCAUUCUUCUCUCCCCCAGCUUCUCUCUGUUUCGGGAGCCCCAUUUUUCUUACUUUUUCUCCAGCCUUUCUCUACCCAAAGAAACCAACGGCACACCCGGGCUGUUUCCCAUCUCUUCUAUUUCUUUUCGAUUUUAUUUUCUCCUACGGCUAGUCUCAACGCCCACAUCCCCACCCGACUCCAUCAUUACUGCCGGUGGCGUGACGCUGACGCCUCUCCAUCUCCAUUUACUCCAUUUUUCUUCAUCAUUUUUAUUUAUUUAUUUAUCUUCUUUCUUUUUUAUUUAAUUUUUUUUCCCAAAAACCCAUCAACUCUCACUGUCAGUAGAUCACCGGCCAGUCGC
rnacentral:lncRNA from 1 species